UCUGGAGUCCAGCCAGGACCUUGGAUUUUGCUCAUGCUAGAAAUGCCCAGGGUGGUGCUUGGUCCACGGAAGGUGGACUUGUUCAAGCUGUACUUCUGAUGACACAUGUGGGAUAAUUAACAAGAAGAAAAUUUAAGUCUGCAACUUCCCCCAUGCAUCUGCAGCAGAGAGUGGAUUUGUCAACAUGCAAAGCUGCUGAUCUGCCCCUGCAUGCUGCUCCCUGCCCUAAGUGUGAGGAGGAUGAACUGCCCUCUUUUUACCUGCACCUCCCUGGAUGGAACAGAGCAUCUCCAUAAUACUUUAUGCAGAAGUAUUACUUCUAUUUAACACCAGAAACCCCAGGCACCAACUUUAAAUUUUAAAUAAAGGAAAAUGUGGACCACUUGCAAUGUUACAAAGCAAAAAGAAACACAAGAGGCAAAUAUUCCAAUCUAUUCUCCACUCUCAGCAUUAAGACAACAAAAUAAAACAAAACCUGCAACGACAA